UAACAGCUCAAAUUUGAAAUCUGGCUCCUGCGGAGUCCGAGUUGUAAUUUGUAGAAGAUGCUUUGGGAGGGAGGCUCGGCCUAAGUUCCUUGGAACAGGACAUCAGAGAGGGUGAGAAUCCCGUAUGUGGCCGUGGCCUCCGCCCGUGUAAAGCUCUUUCGACGAGUCGAGUUGUUUGGGAAUGCAGCUCAAAAUGGGUGGUAAAUUUCAUCUAAAGCUAAAUAUUGGCCAGAGACCGAUAGCGCACAAGUAGAGUGAUCGAAAGAUGAAAAGCACUUUGGAAAGAGAGUUAAACAGUACGUGAAAUUGUUGAAAGGGAAGCGCUUGCACCCAGACUUGGGCGUCGUCGAUCAUCCGAGGUUCUCCUCGGUGCACUCGGCGAGGCACAGGCCAGCAUCGGUUUGGAUGGUUGGAGAAAGGCUCUAGGAACGUAGCUCUCUUCGGGGAGUGUUAUAGCCUAGGGCGUAAUGCAGCCCAUCUGGACCGAGGACCGCGCCUUCGGGCUAGGAUGCUGGCGUAAUGGUUGCAAGCGACCCGUCUUGAAACACGGACCAAGGAGUCUAACAUCUAUGCGAGUGUUUGGGCGUUAAACCCAUACGCGGAAUGAAAGUGAACGUAGGUGAGAACCCGUCAGGUGCAUCAUCGACCGAUCCUGAUGUCUU
rnacentral:rRNA from 2 species